CCGACGGUGAGGGAUGAAAGCUGGGGGAGCAAACCGGAUUAGAUACCCGGGUAGUCCCAGCUGUAAACUAUGCAAACUCAGUGAUGCAUUGGCUUGUGGCCAAUGCAGUGCUGCAGGGAAGCCGUUAAGUUUGCCGCCUGGGAAGUACGUACGCAAGUAUGAAACUUAAAGGAAUUGGCGGGGGAGCACCACAAGGGGUGAAGCCUGCGGUUCAAUUGGAGUCAACGCCAGAAAUCUUACCCGGAGAGACAGCAGAAUGAAGGUCAAGCUGAAGACUUUACCAGACAAGCUGAGAGGUGGUGCAUGGCCGUCGCCAGCUCGUGCCGUGAGAUGUCCUGUUAAGUCAGGUAACGAGCGAGAUCCCUGCCUCUAGUUGCCACCAUUACUCUCAGGAGUAGUGGGGCGAAUUAGCGGGACCGCCGCAGUUAAUGCGGAGGAAGGAAGGGGCCACGGCAGGUCAGUAUGCCCCGAAACUCUGGGGCCACACGCGGGCUGCAAUGGUAGCGACAAUUGGUUUCGAAUCCGAAAGGAUGAGGUAAUCCACAAACGCUACCACAGUUAUGACUGAGGGCUGCAACUCGCCCUCACGAAUAUGGAAUCCCUAGUAACUGCGUGUCAUUAUCGCGCGGUGAAUACGUCCCUGCUCCUUGCACACACCGCCCGU
rnacentral:rRNA from 1 species